GUGGGGAAUAUUGGACAAUGGGCGAAAGCCUGAUCCAGCCAUGCCGCGUGUGUGAAGAAGGUCUUCGGAUUGUAAAGCACUUUAAGUUGGGAGGAAGGGCAGUAAGUUAAUACCUUGCUGUUUUGACGUUACCGACAGAAUAAGCACCGGCUAACUUCGUGCCAGCAGCCGCGGUAAUACGAAGGGUGCAAGCGUUAAUCGGAAUUACUGGGCGUAAAGCGCGCGUAGGUGGUUUUGUAAGUUGGAGGUGAAAUCCCCGGGCUCAACCUGGGAACUGCCUCCAAAACUGCAUGACUAGAGUACGGUAGAGGGUAGUGGAAUUUCCUGUGUAGCGGCGAAAUGCGUAGAUAUAGGAAGGAACACCAGUGGCGAAGGCGACUACCUGGACUGAUACUGACACUGAGGUGCGAAAGCGUGGGGAGCAAACAGGAUUAGAAACCCGUGUAGUCC
rnacentral:rRNA from 1 species